UAAGGAAUAUUGGUCAAUGGACGAAAGUCUGAACCAGCCAUGCCGCGUGAAGGAUGAAGGUCCUCUGGAUUGUAAACUUCUUUUAUAUGGGACGAAAAUGGGUCUUUCUAGAUCAACUGACGGUACCAUUUGAAUAAGCACCGGCUAACUCCGUG
rnacentral:rRNA from 1 species